UUGGGACAAUCGAUUUGGACAUCGAUUAAGUAACACGGCAAAUCGAUUUGGGAAUCGAUUAGGAAAAUGACCGUUGCGUAUUUUUUUACUAGCCGUUGGACAUCAUUAUUACACAAUCGAUUAAGGAUUCGGUGUAACGGUAAACCAAUCGAUUUGGCAAUCGAUUGAUAAGGGUAAAAGUAUAAAAAGGAACAGGUCUAAAUCGAUUUCUUCACUGUUUAAGUCCAGAUUUCUAUAUUUCUUUCUCUGCUUCAUCUUCUUCCUCUGUCUCUGCAACUGAUAUCUGCAACUGAUUCUGAACUCUAUCUUCACUCAUCUCCUCUAUUUGCAACCAUGGCCCGCGUGAAACAAACACAAGCCCAUACUCCUUCACCUUCAUCAUCUUCAACCAGUGAAACUCCCUCUCCGCCACCUACUGUGUCUAAAAGAAUUCCGAUUCCUACACACAAAAUUCUUGCAAAGGACAAGGGCAAGGCUCCUGCUCCUAUUCCAGAAAAGAUCAAGAAAAGGAAGGAACCACCAAGUGAGAAGUUGUUGGCUG
rnacentral:lncRNA from 1 species